rnacentral:rRNA from 1 species
UCUGGGAUAACUCCGGGAAACCGGGGCUAAUACCGGAUAUGAGCCUUGAUCGCAUGAUCGGGGCUGGAAAGUUUUUCGGUUGAAGAUGACUUCGCGGCCUAUCAGCUUGUUGGUGAGGUAAUGGCUCACCAAGGCGACGACGGGUAGCCGGCCUGAGAGGGCGACCGGCCACACUGGGACUGAGACACGGCCCAGACUCCUACGGGAGGCAGCAGUGGGGAAUAUUGGGCAAUGGAGGAAACUCUGACCCAGCGACGCCGCGUGAGGGAUGAAGGCCUUCGGGUUGUAAACCUCUUUCAGUAGGGAAGAAGCGAAAGUGACGGUACCUACAGAAGAAGCACCGGCUAACUAUGUGCCAGCAGCCGCGGUAAUACAUAGGGUGCAAGCGUUGUCCGGAAUUAUUGGGCGUAAAGAGCUCGUAGGUGGUUCGAUACGUCGGAUGUGAAAAUCAGGGGCUCAACCCCUGACCUGCAUCCGAUACGGUCGAGCUAGAGUUUGGUAGGGGAGACUGGAAUUCCUGGUGUAGCGGUGGAAUGCGCAGAUAUCAGGGGGAACACCGAUGGCGAAGGCAGGUCUCUGGGCCAAUACUGACACUGAGGAGCGAAAGCGUGGGGAGCGAACAGGAUUAGAUACCCUGGUAGUCCACGCCGUAAACGGUGGGCGCUAGUUGUGCGAACCUUCCACGGU